CGCCUCCCCCUCCCUCCCCACACCUCCUGAUCAGCUGUUUAAUGAUGUGCAGGAGGCUGGGGGGGAUGGGGGAGGAGCAAGGGCAUGGCAGGCUCAGGGGAAGGGGUGGAGUGGGGGGCAGGGCGCAUGGCAGAGCCAGGAGUUGAGCAGUGAGCACCCCCUGGCAUUUGGGAAAGUUGGUGCCUGUAGCUCCAGCCCCAGAGUCAGUGCCUAUACAAGGAGCCGCAUGUUGCUCCAGAGCCACAGGUUGGCCACCCCUGGCCCAGAAGAACUGCAUCACGCCACUGAAGAUGCCAUCACUUAGCUAGACGACUAUGCACAUGCUAAAUAAAAUUCUCCAGCUGUUUGUGUGAGUCUUUCUUGUGCAGCAGGGAUCAGGCAGUCCCCUGGUGCAGGCAGUCCCCUGGUGCAGUGGGGAUCAGGCAGUCCCCUGGUGCAGGCAGACUCCAGGUGCAGUGGGGAUCAGGCAGUCCCCUGGUGCAGUGGGGAUCAGGCAGUCCCCUGGUGCAGGCAGACUCCAGGUGCAGUGGGGAUCAGGCUGUCCCCUGGUGCAGUGGGGAUCAGGCAGUCCCCUGGUGCAGGCAGACUCCAGGUGCAGUGGGGAUCAGGCUGUCCCCUGGUGCAGUGGGGAUCAGGCAGUCCCCUGGUGCAGGCAGACUCCAGGUGCAGUGGGGAUCAGGCAGUCCCCUGGUGCAGUGGGGAUCAGGCAGUCCCCUGGUGCAGGCAGACUCCAGGUGCAGUGGGGAUCAGGCAGUCCCCUGGUGCAGUGGGGAUCAGGCAGUCCCCUGGUGCAGG